GUCUGGGGACACUUGAGAUGGCAUUUGA
rnacentral:piRNA from 1 species